AUUGCAGGCUGCAACCCGCCUGCAUGAAGUCGGAAUUGCUAAUAAUCGCGGAUCAGCAUGCCGCGGUGAAUACGUUCCCGGGCCUUGUACACACCGCCCGUCACACCAUGAGAGCCGGUAAUGCCCGAAGUCCGUAGCCUAACCGCAAGGAGGGCGCGGCCGAAGGCAGGACUGGUAAUUAGGGUGAAGUCGUAACAAGGUACC
rnacentral:rRNA from 1 species